GCGUAAUAGCUCACUGGUCGAGUCGGCCUGCGCGGAAGAUGUAACGGGGCUAAACCAUGCACCGAAGCUGCGGCAGCGACACUAUGUGUUGUUGGGUAGGGGAGCGUUCUGUAAGCCUGUGAAGGUGUACUGUGAGGGUUGCUGGAGGUAUCAGAAGUGCGAAUGCUGACAUAAGUAACGAUAAAGCGGGUGAAAAGCCCGCUCGCCGGAAGACCAAGGGUUCCUGUCCAACGUUAAUCGGGGCAGGGUGAGUCGACCCCUAAGGC
rnacentral:rRNA from 1 species